GGUAUUGUCUUUUCUGGCUGUGUGCUUUCAGAGUAUGUUGUACCAGAUCAAUGGCUGCCUCUCGCAAGUGUCAUGGAAGUUGAUGGACAGAAGUGUUUUGUAAGUGGCACUUUCUAUUAACUCGUUGGGCAUCUCAAUUCAUCUUCUUCCAUUUUCCUUUCUUUUCCUUCUUGGCUCAUGUCAGGUUUCAUGUUCUGACUGAGGGUGUUUCUUGUUACUUCCUCUUUUUUCAGUCAAAAACAAUAAAAGACAAAGGGUAUUUCUUAUCUUUGUUGAUGCAGAUCAAUCAAAAUACAUUCCUCAGUUUCUAUGGCAGGCAGAAUUUAUUAUCCUUGUUUUGGUCGAAUUUCACAGAUCUUUUCAUUGGAGGAAGCUUUUGCUACUGGAUGCUGCUAUUAUUUGUCAUGUCAAUGAUUUGGUGGUCUAAAUGAUUU
rnacentral:lncRNA from 1 species